CGUAGGUGAACCUGCGGAAGGAUCAUUAUUGUAUAACCGAGGUGCGAGGGCUGUCGCUGACCCGAAAGGUCGUGCACGCCCGAGUGCCCUCACACACAUCCAUCUCACCCCUAUGUGCACCACCGCGUGGGUCCCCCUUUGGCUUGUUCGGAGGGGGGCUUACGUUUUCACACAAACUUUGUAUGCAGUGUAGAAUGUAUUUUUUGUUUUUGCGAUCACGCAAUCAAUACAACUUUCAACAACGGAUCUCUUGGUUCUG
rnacentral:misc_RNA from 1 species